UAAAAGACCAAGAGCCAAUGGCUUCACCCACCAAUUUAGCUAUAUACAAAUCUUUCACCUAGUCUCAGAAAAUUAAGGAAUCUUGACUUUAUCUUAGCAAAAAUUAUGACAAUAGCUUUACUUCUCUAACUACUAACUCCUAAACUUUCUAGCAUAACGCCUAAUGAGACUUCAGUAAAAAUUAAACUGCCACAUCCUAGAGAACAAACUUAUGGACACCAAGAGGGGAAAGUGGCAGGGGGUGGUGGUGUGAUGAAUUGGGAAACUGGGAUUGACAUAUAUACACUAAUAUGCAUACGAUAGUAAGAACCUGCUGUAUGAAACAUAAAAUUCAAAAAAACAUUACAUCCUUUUUAAAAAACAUCUGGUCAAAUGACAUUCUAUGCAGCUCAAUGUGAAUUUAAACAGAGCUAUGUACUAAAACUGAUUUUUCUGUAGGUUCCCUUCCACCACUCCGGCCCUCUAAUAGCUCCUCCCUGCUGGUAUUCCAGAAACCCUCCCACUCUCAGGUACCAAAGCCAAACUCAGUAUUUUUAAAGUCAGUAGUUUACAAGUAAAUCUACAUCUAAGCGUCCACAUGGAAAAUUCUAACUGCAACCUCCAACUUGUCUGGGUUUUAUUUAUACUCACCCACUACAGUUCUAUGUUAAGGCCACCUUUUACUGACAUUGCUUACCUCUAGGUUACCACAGAAUCAUCUGGUAGACCAAAACUUUGAUCCCUCACACCCCACCCCUAAUUAAAAAGAAUCUUCUGCAAGCACUUAUUAAAAAGAAAUAAAUUACACUAUUUGAGAAUGCCAACAAUUUUAUUGAAAGAAAAGUGCAAUGAAACUUGUCGAAAGCUUAAAAGGGAGAACUUAGACACCUCCCCUCAAGCGCAGGACCAGGUGCAGAGUGGAUUCUUUCUGGAUGUUGUAGUCAGACAGGGUGCGCCCAUCUUCCAGCUGUUUCCCGGCAAAGAUCAACCUCUGCUGGUCUGGGGGGAUGCCCUCCUUGUCCUGGAUCUUCGCCUUGACAUUCUCGAUGGUGUCACUGGGCUCCACCUCCAGGGUGAUGGUCUUGCCGGUCAGGGGUCUUCACGAAGAUCUGCAUCCCACCUCUGAGGCGAAGGACCAGGUGCAGAGUGGACUCUUUCUGGAUGUUGUAGUCAGACAGGGUGCGCCCAUCUUCCAGCUGUUUGCCGGCAAAGAUCAGCCUCUGCUGGUCUGGGGGGAUGCCCUCUUUUUCUUGGAUCUUCCCCUUGACGUUCUCGAUGGUGUCACUGGGCUCCACCUCCAGGGUGAUGGUCUUACCAGUCAAGGUCUUCACGAAGAUCUGCAUUGUCUGUUGCAACAAAAAAAUUAACACAAAAAAUAACCCCAGCGUUUAACAGAUAAUUCAGAGGUCAACACAUACCUAAUGCUACAAAAUUAUAUGUCACUAUAUACUAACCAAAUGACUAACGUGCCCAAAAACUCAAAAGCUUGACAAAUAAGGUCACAGCCAACGUUUCACGCACUUAAGAAAGAAAAGCAGUCAAUUCGCGGGCCUCACUUACCCUCCCCCCCCACUGGCUGUCUGUCCCCUGCCAACACGGCAGCGACCACCCCAGGCCCAAACCCUGUGCCCCGAGAACAGAAAAACUCUCCCUCCACACAUACCAGCAGGCGGCCCCACCCUCGAUUACGAGCCCACGGAAGGGAUGACGUCUCGUAACCGCGUUGGCGAGCGGGUCCCCUCCCCCCUCGCGGGUGCAGGACGGCUCCGUGGCAUCGGCAGUUACUGUCCCCUUACUGGGACGGGAAACCGAGUUCUCGCUCGAGUCAAACCGUGACCUAAUGUUCGCUUCCCUCACACGCUGCCCAACCCCGUUCCCCAAAAAGCUGGGCCCCGCCGCCACGGAGGCCUCACGGGCCUCUCGCGUCUCUCGCGUUUCCGUUUCACCCGCAGUCCCCUCCCCCGUCCCCCAUCUUCUCUCUCCCACCUCAUAGCCCGCUUCGGAGUCCGGCUUCUCCCACCGAGGGACGGGAAACGGACGCCAUUUUGCCGCGUUCCUCCCUCUCAGGGCUACCCUGCUGCUAGCGGGCCCCGGGUGACUAAAGGCCUCGGCUGCUCCCUCUGCCGCAGCGGGCAAGUCGACACCCCGCGCCCCCCGCGGCCGCGAGACCCCCGGGCCCCCUCCUUACCAAACGGUGGUGACGGCAGCAAACGCAGAAAAACCGCAACUCGGCUUCCAAACUUCACGAAGAUGCCUGCGCACCGCUCCCGCCGGCGCUUCCUUAUAUAGGUACAGGUAGCGCCGCUCCGAUAGAUCCUUCCGCAGAAACGCCGAGAAGGGACUACUUUUCGCAGCCCUCCUGCCCUCUGAAGAGAAACCCCAGACUCAACUAAUUCCACUCAUAAAAUGCUCUCCUGUGAAGACUGGAGCUUUGGGGCCGAAUCUGGCGCGGAGCGGGCCGCCGUCCCGAGAGGCCUGGCGGAGGGAUCAGCGCGCUCGUUGAGCGCUGCGUCCGCGGACUUGCCCCGGGCUCGAAUUAAGGGGAGGGAGAGUGGGGGGCGGGCGGCCUGAAAACCCGGCGUGGAGUCGCUCAGACGUCCGGAGCGGGCCGUCUCCACCGCCCGGCCUUUAUGCCCCCUCCCCCCGGCCCGGACGGGCCCCGCCGUUCGCGAGGCCCGCCCUAGGCGUACAGGGCUCCGGCCGAGCGCCUCACACCGAGUCGGGGUCCCGCUUGCCCAGCGCACACCCCGCCC
ensembl:lncRNA